GACGAACGCGUGGCGGCGCGCCUAACACAUGCAAGUCGAACGGAGUUGUGUUGAAAGCUUGCUGGAUAUACAACUUAGUGGCGGACGGGUGAGUAACACGUGAGUAACCUGCCUCUCAGAGUGGAAUAACGUUUGGAAACGAACGCUAAUACCGCAUAACGUGAGAAGAGGGCAUCCUCUUUUUUACCAAAGAUUUAUCGCUGAGAGAUGGGCUCGCGGCCGAUUAGGUAGUUGGUGAGAUAACAGCCCACCAAGCCGACGAUCGGUAGCCGGACUGAGAGGUUGAUCGGCCACAUUGGGACUGAGACACGGCCCAG
rnacentral:rRNA from 1 species